UAAGGAUUUAAGUUAAACAAGCUAAACUAACAACCUUCAAAGUUGUAAAUAGACCAUGUCUAAGCCUUAG
rnacentral:tRNA from 1 species